AAAGUCGUAACAAGGUUUCCGUAGGUGAACCUGCGGAAGGAUCAUUAUCGUGCGGGGCUCCGGCCCCUAAGGAUGUAGGCCAGUCAGAAACGGCUGGUUUACGCUGUCUAUAUUACCCUUGUCUAUGAGUACUACUGUUUCCUCGGCAGGCUUGCCUGCCAAUGGGGACCCUAUCAAACCUUUUUAUAUUGUUGUAACCGUAACCAAACAAAUAAUCAAAACUUUCAACAACGGAUCUCUUGGUUCUG
rnacentral:misc_RNA from 1 species